rnacentral:tRNA from 1 species
UGGAUCAAUCGGACCGAGCACUGGACUCACAAUCCAGAGAGCGCCGGUUCGAAUCCUGC